rnacentral:rRNA from 1 species
UAAAACAUAUUUAAUUAGGUAGUAAAGAAAUUUCUGAAACCUAAAGAUCUUGGCGGUGUUUUAAAUAAUUGGAGGAAUCUGUUAAGUAAAUGAUAUUCCACAACAAAUCUUUCCUUAUUUUUGUUUGUAUAUCGUCAUUUAUCGACAAUAUUUUAAAAUAAUAGUCAUGAUUAAUUUAAUAUUCCAUAAAUUAGAUCAAGGUGCAGCAUAAUAAGGUUAUAAUGGAUUACAAUAUUAAUUAAAUACUAACGGAUAAGAAAAUGAAAUUUUUCUUUGAAGGAGGAUUCAAAAGUAAAUCAAAAAUAAAAUGUUUUUUUGAAUAAUAAUUUAAAACAUGC